CCUCUGCUUCCUGCCUCUUUGAGGCUACUUGACCUGUGCCGUGGUUCUUCGUGGGUGUCUUCUGUCCCCGACGAGAUGGGAGCUCCAAGACGCUGGGGGAGAGAAGAAAGGGAACACCUACCUACUGGGGGCUUUCUGGUUGCCAGGUACCCCGUCGGGCUCGUUCACAGCGGCUGUUUCAUUUGUGCCUCAUCCCACCCCUGCGAGGAGCGGGCCGUGGCCGGUUCACCCCAGAUGAUGGGGCUUUUUGGUAACUGA
rnacentral:lncRNA from 1 species